ACCCUACCCCCGAGAUUCACACAGCAGGGUCCACUCCCUCCCAGGCUUGGCUUCCCCAGGCUGAGGGCUGGGCAUUGGCACCCUUCCACAGACCACAUGAGUCAGCUCCCUCCCCACCCAACAAGGCCAGUGCUGGCUCUGUCUGAGGUCCCUUUGUUCAGGUCUCUUCUGAAGAAAGGCACCAGAGGCUCCAGCUCUGGCCAUAAUGCCCCAGAUGAAGCUUGACAGGAGAACUGGACACAACAGGCCAGAAUAUGCAUUCCAGGAGAGCAGGGAUAUUUGUUUUGUUCCCCGAUGUAUCCCCUGGAUCUAGCACAGGACUGGCAGGAACCCCAGAUUCUUCUCCAUGGUCGGAAUCAUUGCAAAAUAACUGACGGAGUUUCACCAUGUUGGCCAGGAUGGU
rnacentral:lncRNA from 1 species